GUAGGUGGCAAGCGUUGUCCGGAAUUAUUGGGCGUAAAGCGCGCGCAGGUGGUUCUUUAAGUCUGAUGUGAAAGCCCCCGGGCUCAACCGGGGAGGGUCAUUGGAAACUAGGGAACUUGAGUGCAGGAGAGGAAAGUGGAAUUCCACGUGUAGCGGUGAAAUGCGUAGAUAUGUGGAGGAACACCAGUGGCGAAGGCGACUUUCUGGCCUGUAACUGACACUGAGGCGCGGAAGCGUGGGGAGCAAACAGGAUUAGAUACCCUGGUAGUCCACGCCGUAAACGAUGAGUGCUAAGUGUUGGGGGGUUUCCGCCCCUCAGUGCUGCAGCUAACGCAUUAAGCACUCCGCCUGGGGAGUACGGUCGCAAAGACUG
rnacentral:rRNA from 1 species